rnacentral:tRNA from 1 species
GAAGGUAUAGUUCAAGUGGUAGAGCACAUGCUUAGCAUGCACAGGGUCCUGGGUUCAAUCCCCAGUACCUCCU